rnacentral:misc_RNA from 1 species
GAUGAAGAACGUAGCGAAAUGCGAUAAGUAAUGUGAAUUGCAGAAUUCAGUGAAUCAUCGAAUCUUUGAACGCACAUUGCGCCCGCCAGUAUUCUGGCGGGCAUGUCUGUUCGAGCGUCAUUUCAACCCUCAGGCCCCGCCUGGCGUUGGGGAUCGGCGCGGCCCUCUCCGGGCUGCCGGCCCCGAAAACUAGUGGCGGUCUCGCUGUAGUCCUCCUCUGCGCAGUAGCAACGCUCGCACUGGAACUCGGCGCGGCCACGCCGUAAAACACCCCACUUCUGAAAGUUGACCUCGGAUCAGGUAGGAAUACCCGCUGAACUUAAGCAUAUCAAUAAGCGGAGGA